rnacentral:lncRNA from 1 species
CUUAGCUGUGUGCUUCUGUGGUGACCUCCAGUUUUCUCUGUAGGCAUUUGACACAGCUCCAGAGCAGUCACAUCCAACACCUCCAUGGCCCUUUGGGCAAGUGGUUUAAACAAGUUCUAUCCCAGGACCAUUGGCUCUGGAAGAAAAGAUACUGCCAGCUAUGAGCACAGUAAUGAGGUUUGGUUUGGGUUUUUUUGCUUGAGGACCCUUUUCACUGCAGAGUUAAUGCCAAC